rnacentral:lncRNA from 1 species
GGCGAGUGGAGUAAGAAGCUUCGAGUGUCGGCGUGGUGAACAUCUUCAUGACGCAGAGCUUACGUAGUCUCCUCCAGUGGGUGCCGUAAGGAGACCAGAGGAUGUCUUCUCCACCGUAAGUGUUGAUCUUCCCUACUUCGGGGAGGUCAUGGUUCGCGAAGGUUAUGUCGUGGGUUUUGAGAACCUCGCGAGCCAUUUCUGGGGAAGAGACGACGAUAGCGAGUUUGGAGCCGAGGUGAAUUUUCAUGAGAGGGCCGUGUUUUUGAGUUAGGGCUUGGAACUGUGUGUGGAGGAUGUCGGAGUUUAGGAACGGGAGGUUUCCCACGAUGGGAAGUGGCCAUGGUCCUGGAGGCAAUGGUGGGCCGUUCUUGGAUUUAGCCUUUCCUUGAAUCCAAAAGUAGCAGAAGAUGGCGACGAGAGCAGCUACGGCGAGCAUGAGGGAGCUGUAUGGAUCCUCUGUUUUGAGGAUUGUUGAGAGAGUGAAGUUAGACGAAGUCGCUUCCAUUUUUUUUUCAGACAAGAGACUUUGGUUACUGGAGGUUUUGGUGUGGUGGUAGAUAAAAUGGGAGUAUAGUAUGGAGAUUUUAUAUUGUAGGCUCGGGGAGAAUGAUGUUAUUAUUUUAUUAUUAAUGUAUUAUCAUAUCAACUUGUAAGAAAUUUCUUAGAGCACCAUUAACCCUAGCAUCCAUUUGGGGUGCUUAAUUUUUUUUUUUUUUUUUUAGUUUUUUUCUGAUUUUUAGAAAAGAAAAUAUUUAAAAAUGAACCAAUAGCGGGCCGCCACGUAUCAGUGGGGCCCGUGAAACAGUGCUAGCACCGGUGCUUAAUUAAGCACAAUAAGCACAUGUACAUCACCCAUGAGCUGAUGAUUCUGAGUUUCCUUCUUUUGUUAUACACUUAUACCCAUUCUGGGUAUGAAGUGCCCUGUAAGCAACUAAGCUCUAUGUCUUGUAUUCGUAAAGCCGAGUUCUUUGAUGCUUCUCUAAUUUUCUGGUAGAGAAGAGAGAUAAGCUUUAAGUGGUUUGAUUACAUUCCAUUGUUCUGUAGUUUUUCAUAGUAACAGAGAAGAACCAGAUUUAGGCUUUGACUGCAUUCAAAAUAUAGAACUCCAAUCUUAGAAGUUAAGGAGGUUCAUUGCACACAUAAACAAAGAAAGAUCUGAGCUUUUCUCGAGUUAGUUUGGAUCUAGGGUCUGGUAGUUGAGUACUAGAAUCAUAUGAGUAGAGAGAUUAAUGAUUGGGGAAGUUGUCUUUUACUUAUAUUAUCUAGUUUUAUAUUCCUUUCCUUCGGUUUUGGUUCCAUGUGGAUGUCAAUACUUGCUUGUGCCUGAUUCUUAUUUUGUUUUUAUGGUCUUAAUAUGUAAAGUUUAGUUUCUUUUCAUCUGCUGCUUCCUUUAAAUAACUGUGUUCUGAUGGCUCAAGAGUUUGAACUUGGUCCACAGUGUUCAUUGUGUUGAUUUCAACAAACGGAUAAAAAAGUGGAGCUGGCCCGGAGUGGAAGAAAGGGGUUGCUGAAUGGUUCAAUGGGUCCCCAUACUGCACGCAUAAUGGAGACUCUCCAUUCAGACUGUAUGCAAGAGGGUCUGCGUAUACAUAAUGGUUAGGAUGAGGGAAUGGCAUCAAUCUGUUGGCUGGAGCUGCAGACCAAGACACUGGAGCUUGAUGAUAGUAACCCAUUGUUGCAGGACCCUGGAAGAGAGGCAACGGUAUACUCUGAAUUUGGGGAAACAUCAUGCUUUGUGGCUGUGACUGGUAGUAAUCUAUAUGCAUUUUGUUAACUUGCGAUGAAAGUGUAAGCGAUUUUUAAAUUUCAUGGCCUUUGGUUAGGUUUGGAGCCUGUCCAAGGGGAAACUGUUGAGAAACAUCAUCUUUCCUGCAGCCAUCAAUGCACUUGCGUUGGACCCUGGCGGGACUUUUUUCUAUGCUGGUAGUAAAGAUAGCAAAAUUUGUAUCGGUGCCAUGAAUUCCUCAAGUGAUUAUGCGACGCAAGCUCCUGAUUCAGUAUCUGAACAAAGGUACCAUCUACUUCUUUGAAUGUAUGAUUAUGUUGGAGUCAUUUUCAACUCUACUAUGGUUAUGUUGUUUGAGCAUUAGCUUGUAGUAGUUCUUGAUCAUUAGACGUUUUUGAAAUUAUAUUGAAAGAUAAUAUUUUGUCAAAUGGCGUUUGAAAUUGAAAUUGAGUAUGGUUUUAUUAAUGCCAAAUUUAUCAUCACAGCAUCUUUGAAUUUUCAAAUUUAUGUAAAAUAAUUACUUUAACAAUAAUAUUUUGUUCUUUCCUUUUAUGAAAUCCAAUAAUUUAUAAGUUUUGUAAAAUUUGAAUUUAAUAAUUCAACUUUAAAAAAAAAAAAAAAAUUUAAGAACUUCAAAGAGGUUCUCCCAUUGGACCUUGACAAAACUAAUUACAUUAACAAAGAUUCUAAACUUUAUAAAGUACACAAUUAAUAAUUAAACUAAUAAUUAGAACCCAUCAAGAGUUCUAACCAAUGGACAUGCUUUAAGAAGUCCAACCUAAACCUUCUUGCCUUUGUUGCUUGCGGUAGAGGCAGGGCCGUUCCAAUAUGAUCUUUAAAAAUAUAGUGGUCCAUUUAAAUACUUUAAAAAUAAUCAAAAUUUAGAGCAUGAUUAAUGCAGAUCUCUUAAGAUGUGGUUCUCUUAUAUUUUUUAUUUAAUAAACGUUUCUUAGUUUUUCUUAGUUAAAAACUAAAAGACGUAUUUUAUAUUACGUUAAAAACCUCAUCCUAAUAGACUUGCAUUACUCAUGUUUUUAAUACACAAGACACCGGACUAGCAACUAAAGUCCAUUAUAAUGUUGUGAGUUGUGACCGGAAACCCUAAAACUAUACUACAAAAAUGAUAAUCUUUAAAAUGGUAAUGUUUGCGUCUAAAGUUUUAGUUUGUUAAGUUCUAGGCCGAGGCAAAGGCCAAAGCCGAUCUAAUACAUCCCUAUAGUCAUUGUUAGGGGUGGGCAAAAAAACCGGAACCGAAUUAGCCGAAAAAACGGAAACCGAACCGAACCGAAAUUAUGAAUUACCCAAUUGGAUACUGAAAUUUUAUACCCGAAUAACUGGAACCGAACCCGUACCGAACCGAUAACCGAAUACCCAUAUAGAACGGGUGAAAAACCCUUAUACACUUACCUUAUACAUAUAUCUUUAUAGUUUAUAUUUUAUACACUUGCCAUUUUUUAUUGAUCAACACUUAUCUUAUAGGAGAAGCUUGUAUUGUUUGGAUGUUUUAUUCCCGCAAUUUGGAUUUUGUUUUCUGAAUGAGAAAAUCGUUUGAAUGUUAUUUUGGUAUUGGUUUUAAUUGAUUUAUUUGCAAGUACAUCAGAUUAAUUUGGGUAAUAUGGUUACAAAGUAACCAUUUAGAACCGAACCCGAUUGGAACUUUUUUUCCGGUUCUAAUAUGGUUACCAAACUUCAGGAACCGAAAGAACCGACCCGAUCUGGUCCGAAAUUUUCACGGUUCUUUAAUGGUUACCAAACUUCAGAAACCGAAAGAACCGACCCGAACCGAACCAAAGAACCGAACGCCCACCCAUAGUCAUUGUGGUCAUCUUUUGUCACUUGAAAGUUCUUUGAUUUUUUUUUAAUACAGGUUAUUCCAGACCGAGAUCCAAAUUUAUUUUUAAGUGGAGGUACAACUCACAGAUGGACCUUUUUCCGAGUAUUCAAAUAUGGUUUAUAUAUGUGUGGCCACACAAAUGGGUAAUCUGAGUUAGAGAAGUUUUGAACCCAUGUCCCUUAGAGCAGACCCGUGUGGUUAAUUUCUUUAAUUCUUUCCUUCUACUGGUAAUAAUUAGCACAUACAUGUAUAGCUUACAUGUCCAUGCAUGGAUAUGAAUUGAAUUUCCAUAACUGCAUUAUACCAACUACCACUUUAUAAUUUCUAUUUGUUUUUCAACUACCAUUCUGUCAUUUGUGGGAUCGACUAUUAGACUAUUUUGAUGAGAGAUGAUGAUAUGUUGGCAAAUGAAAAUAUAAGACAUUAUAUAAAUAAAUAAAAUUAUUACUAUAUAUAAUCAGAUAUGCGUCUUCACACACUCCAUUUUUACAAAGCAUUUAAAUUUUAAAAACUCUCACCGCAAAAUAAAAUAAAAGUAAAUCAUAAUCAACUUCCCUGAACCAAACUUUUAUUUAGUUAUUUAAGCUGUGUAGAGUUUGGGAUCAGACAACCUCGGAACAGGAAUAGCCACAAGUGGACUCUUCAACUUAAGAACAAGCCCAAACUUCUCUUCAACCUCAAACUUCUGUCCUUUAGGAGCUUUCCAGUCAAAAGAGUGAAGAAGCGACGCAAUGUUGAACAGAACAAGCCUCUCAGCCAUGUUAAUCGCCGCGCAAAUCCUCCUCCCAGAUCCAAAAGGCAAAUACUUAAAAUCACCACCAUUGAAAUCAAGCGAGUUCUCCAAAAACCUCUCAGGUUUAAACUCGUUUGGUUCAUCCCAAUGCUUAGGAUCUCUAUGAAUCGCCCAAACGUUGAUGAAUAUCUUCGAGUCUUUAGGCACAGUGUACCCCGCAACCACAGAGGUCUCGCUGUUCCGAUGAGGCACAAGAAGAGGAAGCGUAGGGUGAAGCCUAAGAGUCUCUUUCAUAACAGCUUGUAGAUAAGGAAGCUUUGGUAAAUGCGACUCUUCAACGAUACUGUCUUUACCAACAACUUGAUCUAGUUCUUGUCGGAUUUUCUUGAAAACUUCUGGUCUACUAACGAUCUCCGCCAUUGCGAACUCCGAUGCGUUAACCGAUGUGUCCACACCGCCAAGAACCAUGUCCAUAAGCAGUGACUUUACGUGUGUCAACGAGAGAGGAGCUUUCUCAUCGUCGUCUUUAACCCUAAUCAAAUAUUGUAAAAAAUCUUCUUCGUCUUCGCUUUUUUUCCCCACCAUCUUGACAUGACUCUCCAUGACACGAUCGAACAAAAGAUCUAGCUUCUUCACGUGGACCUUCAUCUUCUUAACAAGUCCUUGGAAGUCAAAUCUCGCGAACAUGGGGAAGAAGUCGGAGUAGUUCUGAAUCCCUUCGAUGUCGGAGAUAUCAGAGAUUAGGGUUUUGAGCUCGUUUCCUAAGCUCGUCCUCUCUUCUCCUUCAACAGUAGCUCCCCACAUCAUUCUCGUCACGACGUUGAAGAUAGAGAGGAAGAUCUGCUCUCCUAGGUUCACGGGAGACCCGUCGCGAGCCAUUUCCGACAUGUAGACAACGGUUUGUCGGGUUUCUUCGCGGCGAGUGGAGUAAGAAGCUUCGAGUGUCGGCGUGGUGAACAUCUUCAUGACGCAGAGCUUACGUAGUCUCCUCCAGUGGGUGCCGUAAGGAGACCAGAGGAUGUCUUCUCCACCGUAAGUGUUGAUCUUCCCUACUUCGGGGAGGUCAUGGUUCGCGAAGGUUAUGUCGUGGGUUUUGAGAACCUCGCGAGCCAUUUCUGGGGAAGAGACGACGAUAGCGAGUUUGGAGCCGAGGUGAAUUUUCAUGAGAGGGCCGUGUUUUUGAGUUAGGGCUUGGAACUGUGUGUGGAGGAUGUCGGAGUUUAGGAACGGGAGGUUUCCCACGAUGGGAAGUGGCCAUGGUCCUGGAGGCAAUGGUGGGCCGUUCUUGGAUUUAGCCUUUCCUUGAAUCCAAAAGUAGCAGAAGAUGGCGACGAGAGCAGCUACGGCGAGCAUGAGGGAGCUGUAUGGAUCCUCUGUUUUGAGGAUUGUUGA